UUUCCGUAGGUGAACCUGCGGAAGGAUCAUUAAUGAGUUGUCAUGGGGUUCGAUGCUGGCAGCCAGUUUUUGGAUGCAUGUGCUUGCCCUAACAAUCAUCUUCUUCCAAACACCUGUGCACAUUUUUGAGGGAGUCUUGAGUUGGUUGCCGCUCUUGGGUGAUUUUCUCACAUUCCCUUAAAUCAUUAUACGCUAUUAACAAUGUUGAACGUGCUCUGUGCCGCAAGGCCAUUAAUAUAAUACAACUUUUAACAACGGAUCUCUUGGCUCUCGCGUCGAUGAAGAACGCAGC
rnacentral:misc_RNA from 1 species